CACGUAGUUCUCCACCGGGAGGUCAUCUUUCUGGUCAUCAGAACUCCUUGUGUCCUGGUUGUGAGAACACCAAAUAGUAACCACCAAGAGUGUCCUGUGUCCUGGGUGCCAGGUCAGGCACUCUCCCUGGGAUCUCUGACUGGAUCCUUACGUCGAGUCUCUAAGCUCAGGGGACAGCAACACUCACAGGCACAGCCCUCCCUGUUACCCCUGGACCACAUCUCAGUGACCUCAUGAAGAGCCAAGACCAAAGCCCAGAGUCACAGACACCCUGGACUCACAACCUCACAGUGGUCAGUGCUUGGACUAGGGGCUUCUAGCCCUCAGGGCAGAGCCUGCUCCUGCCCAGCCAUGGCACCCACUGGAGCAGCCAGGCCUCUCCUUCCUGGGCCCUCCUCACCACUUCUACUCACAUGGCUGCCUGAGGGGUUCACGUUGGCACGAGCAGGCUGCGUCUCCACACCGGUGGGUUUCUUCCCCGAAGUGCCCUGCCAG
ensembl:antisense Gm14199 predicted gene 14199